CGCUGGUUUUUAGGUUAGCAGAGGUUGGAGGAAGGGCCAGACUGAGGCGGAGCUUGCUGCUGUCAAGGAAAAAAAAAAAAAAAGAAAAGAGAAAAAAAGGGGGCUGCAAAUUGCUGUUCUCAGCUUUUUUCUCUCCUCUCCUCCACCCCCGCCCUCCCCCGAAAAAAGGCAGUGCUUUCUCUUAGGCUCUUAAAAAUGAUGCAGAAUUUUAACCAUCUGCUGUACCCGGAGCUCUUCGCUGGUGCUGCACAGCUGAAUGUUUGCAAAGGGAAGAAUUUGUAAAGCUUUCUGAAAUAGACAACUAUUUGUAAGCAUGUAAAAUAUUUUAGGGAAUCCUUUCUUUAAAGAAAGGUUCUGUUUAAUUGCAGACUGAGUGAGAAAGCAUCUCCGUAAAUAGGAAUGCAGACAGUCUGGAUGCCGGACUUGGAAAGUAUUUAAUGGUCAUUGGAAAAAAAUGAGGAAGAGGAGGGUGUGGCUGCUGCUGGGAGGCUCUGGCCCUGCAAAGGGUCCCUGGCUCGUAGAGAUGUGGUCCUGCAUCAGCACAAAACGAAGACUUCUUUUCGCAGCUCUGUCUGGGAGGCCCCGGUUGUGAGCGGAGGGAGCGGAGGGUUUGAGCGCGGUGCCCCGGGCAGAGCUGGGUGCCCGCUCGCAGUCCCGGCGCUUCAGCCGGGCUGCCGGAGCGCCGCCCGGGACGGACGGACGGACGGACAGAGCGGGCUCCCCGUGCGGGGCUGCCAAGGCACCGCCGCUAACUCACCUGCGCCCGGCGAGCUGUCCCGAGGCAAGAGUAGAGUAAAAAAACACCGGGGAAAAAAAAGCUGCAAGAUAAACAUUAUGUCGGCAGCACCCUUAAAAACCUGCUCGUGCAACCACCCCUUUUAAUGACUCCUUUCUUGGAGGAAAAAAAAAAAAUUAAAAAAUAAAUCACUCGUGCUAGUGCCA
rnacentral:lncRNA from 1 species